CUUGUCCCUUCCCCCUCCGUGAGGAGAGAAUGCCAGUCCUCUACCUGCUGUGGCAAGGAAAAAGAACUGCAAACUCUAAACAAACCAAGAGAAAGCAUCCUAGCUUAAAGGGCUUUCAAUCCCGAUGGAGUUGGCCUCCAGGGAGGAAGAGAAACCUUUCCCUAGAAGAAUCAUUCCGAAACACAGGAUCCAGGAUGCGCGAGCUUUGGCUGCCACGCUGUCUGUCCCCCAUUAAAUGGUAAUAUUUCAGG